rnacentral:misc_RNA from 1 species
CCGAGUUGCAACACUCACAAACCCACUGCAAACGUACCUAUUUUGGCGACUCCGGCAGGCGGCCCCAGGGCGGGGCCUCAGCCUUUUUAGGCGCCUGCCGAAGGUGCCGCAACUUUACUCUGUAACUAUAUAUUCUGAGUCCAAAGACAAAAUAUCA